rnacentral:lncRNA from 1 species
AAGCCGUCGUCGUCGUCGGCCCUUCGCCGUCGUCGGACGCGAGUUUAGGAAGGGGCAGAGGCUUUCCGUUUUCACCUCGUUUCACCGUUUCGGAGCCUUGGUCUCUGAACGCGCUCCAAAGAGCUGGUGGGAGACGCCCUCGCAUGGCUCCGGCCACCGGGCGGUAGGGAGGCGUGACGGCGGCGGGGCUUCUAGCCUUGGAACCCUAGCAGAAAAGGGAUUCUCCCUUUUAUUUUUUGUUUUUUUUUUGUGUUUUUUGCAGCAAAAUGAAACUGCAGAAAGAAGUAAUUUUUUUUUUUUAGCUUUAUCUUAAUUGAAAUGGCGCCGUUUGAGGGAGGGAGACCCGCGCAUUGCCCUAAUGGGUAAUUUGCGCACUUGGUCCC